ACUUUAUCUAUCAAUUACAAUUUUGUCUAGGUUUAUUUUCUUUUUAAAUGAGUCCCCCCAAUAGCGAGAGAAAUCAACACCGUCCCCUUAAAUCGUCGCAUUAGAUACGUCAUCACAAAGCGACAGUAAUUCUCCAGCACUGCACAAACUAUGACAUUUUGUGCUUUCAAGACGUUGUUUUCAGUUGUAUUAUCAUUUAUUAUUAUCAUUUUUACCACAAAUGAAUAGUUAGUUAUUGAAUGAAUGCUCCCAUUUCUAUGUUUAUCGGCGUUUAUAUAGGGAAAACGAAGCCUAAACGCACAUCCGUAGCGUCGCUGAAGCUCCAACGAUGCCCAAAGUAUUUGAAGUCAAAUGUCCGGCGGAAUGUCAAAACCUCCCCGGUGGCUUCUGGUCGGCCGUGGACGUUUGGAUAAAAAAACCUCACGUGGUCAACAAGCGGCUGUGCGGCGUUCAGGUGACUGACUGUGAAGAAGAAGAAGAAGCGCUGCUGCGUUCGCUGCCCCAGUGGGACAUGUUGGCUGUUUGUUGUCGUCCCCGCGGCACACACCAAACAUGUCUGACCUCUCAUGUCAGGACGUUUAUCCCCAAAGUCAACAUCUAUGGGACACGCAAACAGAAAGAGCUUGUUGUUAAAGACUUGGAUGGACAGGAGGUGACGUUUGUUCCCUUCGAGCAGGCCGAAGCGGGCCAGGCGUCCGUGAAGAAGGACAACAUUUACGCCAUCAAGCUGUGCCUGCUCGACUCUGGCAGAUGGGCGCUGGAGCUGCACGUGCGGACGGCGGAGACGUGGCACUCGGACGGCGUGGCCUACCCCAAGCUUUCCUGGCUGUCGGGCAAACUGCUGCCCAAGCUGGUGCGCUGGGCCGCCGCGUGCAAGAGCGGCGGCUGGGCCGACACGUUGUCGUUGCUGCCCGUCGAGAAGUACAGCCUGGUGUACCAGCGGCUCAAGGACAAGUACAAGGCCAUGGUCAAGGUGUGGCCCGAGGUGACGGAUCCGGAGAAGUUUGUUUACGAAGACGUCGCCAUCGCCACCUAUCUCCUGGUGCUUUGGUCGGAGGAACGAGCGGAACGCAACGCGGAGGCCCGGCAGUCUUUCGUGGACCUGGGCUGUGGAAACGGACUCCUGGUGCACAUACUCUCCAACGAAGGGCACCCCGGAAAGGGCAUUGACGUUCGUAAAAGGAAAAUCUGGGACAUGUACGGCCCCGACACCAUGCUGCAGGAGCAAGCCAUCACUCCCGGCGAGAGCUUCUUGUUCCCAGAGACGGACUGGCUGAUCGGGAACCACUCGGACGAGCUGACACCGUGGAUCCCCGUCAUGGCGGCCAGGUCGUCCUACUCGUGCCGCUACUUCGUCCUGCCCUGUUGCUUCUUUGACUUUUUCGCCAAGUACCGGCGGCGGCACAGCCAAAAGUCUCAGUACAAGGAAUACAUCCAGUUCAUCGGCGAAGUCAGUCGAGUCAGUGGCUUCCACACGCAGGAGGACUGCCUCAGGAUUCCCUCCACCAAACGGGUGUGCCUGCUGGGCAGAAAGCGGACAUACGAGGCGAGCGAGGAGGCCGGGGCGGAAGCGAGCCGAGCCGCUUACAUCCAGAGCCGCCGCACCGCGCCCGAAAGCGACGUUGGCGGCGGCCGCGGCGGCGACGAAGGUCCCGGGGACGGCUGGGGAUCCGGCUUCCGGCCUCGAGACCGCGUGGAGGCGGUGCGAAACUGCAUGGCGCUCUCUCGGGACCUGGUGGACGGCGUGGUCCUGCGCGUGGCCGAGGCCCUUCUGGGAAUGGCCGACGAUCGCCGUUCUCCCGGCGACUGGAAACGAGGAGGUAACAAACAGCAAGCCGCUCCCAGGCAGCUUGUCCGUGGGCGAGGUGGCUGCGCUGCUGUGUCAGGACACCCUCAAGCAGCUCAAGAACGAGUGCGGCGGCCUGCAGACGCUCCUCAAGAACCACCACCAAGUUUUUCAAGUGGAAGGAGGACGCGUGCGCAUCCGAGACUGGCGAGACGGGAAGCCGUGCGGAGCGUACGGCAAGAGGAGGGCGCCGAUGUCCCCCGGUGCCCUGAAAACCCGACCGUGCUGGUUCGACCGCCACCACCCGCAAGGCUGCCCACUACUGGCUGAAAGGUGCACCUUCGCUCACGGACUGGACGAGCUGCGAGCGUCCACCGGACCUGCGAGGAAGAAGACAAACGAGCGCCUUCGAGCCCUGUAACUUCAAACUUUGCUGGACCAGCGGAUGACACAAUACGGAAUCGACUGCGAGUGAAACCUUCUACUUCUCGUCGACCUCAAAAGACUCUCGGGAAAAUCAAUGAACGGGCAGGACAUGGCCCACUGCGCCAUGAAUAAAACAGUAAAAGACUGCUUUCAAAACGGGCCUUUAUGUGCUCUGUUUGUCAGUCGCUCCCCUUUAGGUCUGCACAUGAAAGAGGGCAUUCUGGGAACAAAGCCUGUCAGAGCCCCCCUCCCCACACACACACACACACUAAUAUUUUUUUUUUUUACUACUAACAUGCGUUUUUAUUCUCAUUCAUGGGGAAUGGACUUCAAUUCUUAAACUGCAUAUGUUGGUACUGAGGUGAUAUUUGCUGUACAGAAUUUGAGAUGGCUAAAUGCUAAACGGUUAGCAAUCGCGAUUAGCAUUAGCGUGCUAGCAAUGACCCAAAAAAAAAAACGCUAACCA